GUGAAGGUGAAGUGCAUUAACAUAUGGAGGAGUAUCUGUACUGAGAAGCACUGUGCAUCCUGCAGCUCUUACUCAAGGAUCUUCCAAGCGUAGCAUACCUAACAUGCAUAAUCCCAAGCAAGCUCAUGAACGAUGAGAUGUUGGGUACCUCAGAAGUACAGAGGAAUGUUUCCAUUGGCCUGGGGGUCUCACAGAGCUGCAUGCAUACCCCAGAGAAUUGUGGAGAAUUGGGUGUGUGCUUCAAGAACUGAGCCUCUGCUGGACCCUGUUAGACCAGGUGACUACAGUUGCAAAGUAGAGCUUGCUGAGACGUCGAUGGCAGGACAAUAGUGCUCUAUCACCCUUCAGUGGACAUUCCACAUGAACACACAAACCCAGCCAGGGAUCGAAUCCUGUGCACAAUAACAGACACAUGAUCAAGUGCUGAGAAACACAGACUAGAAGAAAAAAUGAACACCUUGAGCAAGAACCAUGAUAAACAUCUCAGCAAAUGUCCCUUACAGCUGAGUGCCAUUGGUACCCCUCGGACAGUGUGGCAGCCUUUCUUUCUUUGGUGCUUGGAUAAACCUGAAUGUAUCCAGUGGAAAGUCAAAUCCAGUCAACCAGAGGGACAAGUUCCCUGAGGAAAGAUACAAAGACAUCACAAAAUAUCUUUUUUCCAUCCAAUGGCUCCAAUAGGUCGACUUUAUUAUAAAUUUUCUGUUUUAAAUAAAAUCAUCAUAGGCCGUCA
rnacentral:lncRNA from 1 species